rnacentral:lncRNA from 1 species
AAGCUCGGCCAGCGGUGCCAGCGCAGCGUCCAGCGCGGCCAGCAGCGCGGGGCCGCCGCGCACCAGCGCGUGGUUGAGCUGCAGCGAGCGCAGCGCGGGCAGCCCGCGGAAGGCGCCGCCGCCCAGGGCGCGCAGCGGGUUGUGGCUGAGGUCGAGCGCCGCCAGGCUGGGCAGCCCGUCGAAGGCGCCGUCCUCCACCACCUCGAUGUGGUUGUGCGUGAGGCGCAGCGCGGAAGCUCUAAACCUGAUUUAAAGAGACAGGCUCCUGAGAAGGGAGGAUUCCUGGCCUUAGCAUGAAUUAUUCAGGCUGGAGAGGCUGACACUUGAUCCGCAGGCCAUUCGGGUAUCAGCAGAGCUGGUUGGAAUAGAGGCUCCCCACCUC